rnacentral:rRNA from 1 species
AUGGCAAAUAACAACAUCCUCCAAGUCUUCAUUGUUUUUCUCAUCGCACAAGUCUGCUUAGUCAUGAUGAUGGCCAUGCCGAUAGUGCAGGCAGCCGGCAGGCUUAUGGGACAUGAUCCACCCUGUUGCCCUAGGGACCCCUGGUGUUGUGGGUUCGGCCGCGUGAUGGCCAAUGGAACUGAAUCCUCCACCAAGCCUUGA